GAAGCAAUGAUGAUGUUAAGCACUUGGACGUGUUGUGGGCAGUGGCCAUAACUUUUGAUCGAGUUAUGCCGUGAGCCUGUAUAUUAAACGACUUCUCCUUCCACUGAGCUUC